AAAAGACCACACUGGAUAAAAAAAACACAACCAGCGCCCCUCCCUCUCGCGACUGAAAAUAGCUAGGGUUCCACCGCGAGCCUCCCAGCCGCCGCCGGUGCCCUCCGCCGUCGUGAGCCUCCCACCCGCUGUCGCGAGCCUCUCCGCGGCCGCCGGUGCCCUCCGCCAUCGCGAGCCGUUGCCAGUGCCCUCCCCGGCUGCCGCCACCGGUGCUCUCCCAGCCACUGUCGUCCGUCUGCAGACGCCAUGGAGCCGGCGGUGCGCGUGCAGCUGGCAGGGCUCGGUGAGGACAACCGCCAGGAGGGGCUGUGCAGGCGGUCGUCGCCCCAUCCGCUCCGUCCUCUCCUCGAGGCCCAGUUCGAGCGGGCAACAUGGCGGUCCCAGAUUCGCGGCGGAUCUGGCUCGCCCACCUCUUUCCCCAGCCGGAACAGUCAUGACCACGUACAUAUCGGGGACAAGCUCUUGACGACUCCACCGUUUGACGAUGAUCUAGCUAUUGGGCGUUCAGGACCUGAGUGUACUGCAGGAAAAGACCAUGGAGAUGGACAAGGAAAAGAUGUAUCAUACAGUUUAUCAAGGAAGGUCUAGGAACAUGCUGUGAGUUGAGAUCAGCAUGGCCUGCAACCACAACAAGACAAGACGCCUACCAUGCAUAUAUAUUUUCCUUUCAAGUAGCAACAACUUGACUAUGUUGUCUAUGACAUAACAAGGACGAGAUAUGACAACCUUCUGCAUGUGUCAAUAGUAAGCUCUCUUAUGUUUUGUUGUAAAAAUUAGUUAACCUCCAGAAUUAUUAUGUUUUAUUUAUUUUCUCACAUCAAGUGUGCUUGAGUGAAAUCAGAUGGUGGCUCUUUGGAAGGAACUGUCAAGAGUAAACGGAAGAAACAUCUGUUUUCUCAUACUUUAUUUCAUUUCUUUUUCUCAGAUUCUACUCCAAAAUAGUUUUUGGUUUGGAGCAUUUUCACUGGUUCUUUCCAAGUUUCGUUCUUCUCUUCAUUGUCUAUCGCUUCUCUAUCAGAAUAUUAUAAUUAGUAUACUCUUGGUUUCCUAAGUUAUAUGAUUUAUUUGUUGCUAGGAUUAUUCUGACAUGUGUAAGCCUUGAUUUUGAUGAACAAGAGCCUGUUUUUUGGCACGACUCCCAGCUGCAGGAGAGCAUCAAGAUCUACUGCGCGGUGAACGAUGGCAUCAUCAACCUCGUGGAUGUGCCACCGACGUCGUUUCUUGUGACGAUGGAAGAGUACAUCAGAGAAGCUCCCAGGGCUGGUCAGGUUGCAAACAAGACCAUUGUUGUGGCAGGAACAUCCAUAUCUGGUCUGCUGGCCAAUUUUAAAUUCUUGUUUAUGUGGAGAGGCGCCGAGCCAGCUGCUAGUGUCCUCUGUUGUUGGAAGUUGUUGAUGAGAUGAAUGUGGGCAUCAACCGACCUCAGCAGCAGCUCCAGGAAUAGCCUUCACCUGGGUGUGUCGUGUGCAGCACCACCACCACUAGUAGCAGCAGCUCUAGGAUAAGGCCUAGAUGUGGAGUGGAGGAGUGCCGUGUGCAGCACCACCAGUAGUAGCAGCAGCUCGGGAGAGGAGGAUCGCCUGGGCCUAGAAGUGGAGGCGCUUGGACCUGGGUGCAGUCUUGGAGGUGGAGGCGCCAGGAUCUGGGUAGAGGUGGAUGUGGAGGUUGAGGACAGGGCCGACGGUGGAGGUCGAGGGCGAGGCCGGAUGUGCCAUAUAUUAUGUAGUAAUGCCAAAUAUUAUGACAUGGAUGUGUUAUAUAUAUAAUGGGAUAUGGAUUAUGUUA